CCUACGGGUGGCAGCAGUGGGGGAUAUUGCACAAUGGGGGCGACCCUGAUGCAGCGACGCCGCGUGUGGGAAGACGGUCCUCUGGAUUGUAAACCACUGUCCCCAGGGACGAAAGUGACGUUACCUGGGGCUGACGCUCCGGCAAACUACGUGCCAGCAGCCGCGGUCCUACGUAGGGAGCGGGCGUUGUCCGGAAUUACUGGGUGUAAAGGGAGCGUAGGCGGGGAUGCAAGUUGGGGGUCAAAACUACCGGCUCAACUGGUAGUCGCCCUCAAAACUGCAGCUCUUGAGUGAAGUAGAGGCAGGCGGAAUGCGUAGUGUAGCGGUGAAAUGCGUAGAUAUUAGGAGGAACACCAGUGGCGAAGGCGGCCUGCUGGGCUUUUACUGACGCUGAGGCUCGAAAGUGUGGGGAGCAAACAGGAUUAGAUACCCGAGUAGUC
rnacentral:rRNA from 1 species